rnacentral:lncRNA from 1 species
GGAGUAGCACUACUAGGAGGUGUGGCUUUGUUGGAGUAGGUGUGUCACCAUGGGCUUGGGUUUAAUACCCUCAUCCUAGCUAGCUGCCUGGAAGCCAGUAUUCUGCUCGUAGCCUUCAGAUGAAGAUGUAGAACUCUAAGUUCCUCCUGCACCAUGCCUGCCUGGAUGCUGCCAUGCUCCCACCUUGAUAAUAAUGGACUGAACCUCUGAACCUUGC